rnacentral:rRNA from 1 species
AGAGUUUGAUCAUGGCUCAGGAUGAACGCUAGCUACAGGCUUAACACAUGCAAGUCGAGGGGGAAACGACAUCGAAAGCUUGCUUUUGAUGGGCGUCGACCGGCGCACGGGUGAGUAACGCGUAUCCAACCUGCCCACCACUUGGGGAUAACCUUGCGAAAGUAAGACUAAUACCCAAUGACGUCUCUAGAAGACAUCUGAAAGAGAUUAAAGAUUUAUCGGUGAUGGAUGGGGAUGCGUCUGAUUAGCUUGUUGGCGGGGUAACGGCCACCAAGGCUACGAUCAGUAGGGGUUCUGAGAGGAAGGUCCCCACAUUGGAACUGGAGACACGGUCCAAAACUCCUACGGGGAGCA